UUACUUUGUGAGGCCGUGUCAGAUAACUUCACUUCAACCUCCGACAUUUUUUCUGUAACAUCUUUGGUUAGCUUCCUGUGGACAGAAGGACAUUGUAUGAAGAUGAAUGAAAGGUUACAGAAUCAAAGCACAGCAGAGUUGGAAUGAGCCUUGGAGAUAAUUUUGUCUGACUCAGACGGGAAGCACAAAUCCCCAUCUAGUUUCUUGGAGACCCUGGUAUUAUGCGGAAAUGAAAGCUGAGAGAUGUUAAAUGAUUUGUCCAUAAUCACACAGCUAAAGAACUCUUUUUGCUACAUCGCUUCACAUUUCCAUGCCGUCAACUUCUCUAGAAGCUGUAAUUCUAUCUCUGGUGGGAGAAUACCAGUUCAACGUUAUGGGACUUAAAGACAAGGAUUACUUGCCAAGAAUGGUUCCCUCCCAUGAAAUGCCGUUGAGAAACAUGUUCGCUCUCACUUGCCAGCAUCAAGGAUCUAUUGCAGCAUCUGCUGAGGAAGAUAUGUCUAGGCAAGUAUUCCAAAGGAAAGCCAGAACUAAGAGCCUCUUGAGGCAGCUGAAUUCCCUGGGACUUCACACUUGAAAAGCAAGAGUCAUAUUUUGCAGAUGGUUGGGUCACAGUUCAACUAAUGUUAACAGCUGAUUUUGGGCUUAGUUUGAGAGGUGACCCAAUGACUCUCCUAAAAAGUAUCAUACUUUAAUAUCAUGAGGGACAAGGGUGCUGCUAAAGCUAUUACAGACACAGAAGUGUUUCUUUGUUUAUCCCAUUUCUAGAAAUGCCUUUCCAAUCAGGUCACUUGGGAGGGCAAGUAGUCUUUGUAAGAGGAAUGAACACCAAAGAUCUUUUCAAUGAAAAUCCCAUAUUCAGGCAGUUAAAGUGGAACACUCAAUUUAUAGCUGGCGCUCAAAUACCCCACAGACGCUAAAAUUAUACAGAAAAUAUUGCUGCAAUGGUUCUAAAUGCUGUAAAUGGGCUGCCAUAAGUAGAAUAAUUGACAUAAGUGAUGUUCUUCUGUUUCUGGAGUUCACAAAAGGGGUAAAGGCAGGAUAAAUGUAAGUUAAUACACAGCAGGGUGCUUGCUUUAAGAGAGUGGGGUUAUUUGGGAAAGGAUUAUUAAAUCUGUUCACUUUGAAAAAAGGAAAAUGUGGUUAUAAUAUGAGCAUAGCCCAUGGGUUGCCUGAGAAAGGGCCACUUAGAUGUGAUGGACAGGCGUUUAGGUGGAAACUAAUGGGGAUGAGUUCCAUAUACAAUUCUCUUUUUUGUUGUUCCUUGUGUACUAAGAGGUUUUGGGUUUGCUUAUUAGCAUUAAAUUGAUGCUAUAAGAGUAACUAUUAUAAAGAAAAGAGGAAACAAUGGGUACAGUGAUAAUGAGUAGAUAAGGAGGAACUGUGUUGAAUCCUUCUCUAAGUGUUUCUGGGAAGGAAGAAAAAAAAGAAAAGAGUGGAGGGAGGAAAGAAGAAAAGAAGAAAGGAAAUA